UACGUAGGGGGCUAGCGUUGUCCGGAUUUAUUGGGCGUAAAGAGCUUGUAGGCGGUUUGUCGCGUCUGCUGUGAAAACCCGAGGCUCAACCUCGGGCCUGCAGUGGGUACGGGCAGACUAGAGUGCGGUAGGGGAGAUUGGAAUUCCUGGUGUAGCGGUGGAAUGCGCAGAUAUCAGGAGGAACACCAAUGGCGAAGGCAGAUCUCUGGGCCGUAACUGACGCUGAGGAGCGAAAGCAUGGGGAGCGAACAGG
rnacentral:rRNA from 1 species